rnacentral:tmRNA from 1 species
AACCUUGCCAUAUGCAAUAGGUUAUGCGAAAUAGUCCCUGCUCAAACCAUAUGAGAUAUGGCAAUAAACGAAGAGUGGAAUAAACAUUGCGGACCAGGGGGCAGUACCCUGCAUCUCCACCAAAAUCUGCAAGCCUCACUAAGGCUUGGCGUAACGACGUCAACCUCGCAUCGCAGAAUGGGGAUGAAAUAGGAUCGACGUGAUGUGGUAAAGACUUUUCUUUUGCCCGGCAUUGUACCGCCGUUAUCGGGCUAAACCUAUAAGUGCCAACGACAACAAAGUUGCACUCGCUGCCGUCGCUUGACGGCAAGCGCGGUUCGGGGGGCACCGGGCAACAGAAGCCCCCCACU